rnacentral:rRNA from 1 species
AACGAACGCUGGCGGCAGGCCUAACACAUGCAAGUCGAGCGCGCCCUUCGGGGUGAGCGGCGGACGGGUGAGUAACGCGUGGGAACGUGCCCUUCUCUGCGGAAUAGCCUCGGGAAACUGAGAGUAAUACCGCAUACGCCCUUUGGGGGAAAGAUUUAUCGGAGAAGGAUCGGCCCGCGUUGGAUUAGGUAGUUGGUGGGGUAAUGGCCCACCAAGCCGACGAUCCAUAGCUGGUUUGAGAGGAUGAUCAGCCACACUGGGACUGAGACACGGCCCAGCCUCCUACGGGAGGCAGCAGUGGGGAAUCUUAGACAAUGGGGGCAACCCUGAUCGAGCCAUGCCGCGUGAGUGAUGAAGGCCUUAGGGUUGUAAAGCUCUUUCAGCUGGGAAGAUAAUGACGGUACCAGCAGAAGAAGCCCCGGCUAACUCCGUG